UGGCAAGACAGGCAGCGGUAG
rnacentral:miRNA from 1 species